rnacentral:rRNA from 1 species
CCUACGGGAGGCAGCAGUGAGGAAUCUUGCGCAAUGGGCGAAAGCCUGACGCAGCAACGCCGCGUGGAUGAUGAAGGCCUUCGGGUCGUAAAAUCCUGUCAGGGGGGAAGAAAUGGCUAUAGGCUAAUACCCUAUUGCCUUGACUGUACUCCCAGAGGAAGCCCCGGCUAACUCCGUGCCAGCAGCCGCGGUAAUACGGAGGGGGCCAGCGUUGUUCGGAAUUAUUGGGCGUAAAGGGCGCGCAGGCGGUCGCAUAAGUCAGUUGUGAAAUCCCAUGGCUCACCCAUGGAACUGCUUCUGAUACUGUGUGACUUGAGUCCGGGAGAGGAGAGCGGAAUUCCCAGUGUAGCGGUGGAAUGCGUAGAUAUUGGGAGGAACACCAGUGGCGAAGGCGGCUCUCUGGACCGGAACUGACGCUGAGGCGCGAAAGCUAGGGGAGCAAACAGGAUUAGAUACCCUGGUAGUCCUAGCUGUAAACGAUGGGCACUUGGUGUUGCGGGUGUUGACCCCUGCAGUGCCGGAGCUAACGCGAUAAGUGCCCCGCCUGGGGAGUACGGUCGCAAGGCUGAAACUCAAAGGAAUGACGAAUCUCGACUGAGGAACCCCC